UACAGAGGUCCCAAGCGUUGUUCGGAUUCACUGGGCGUAAAGGGUGCGUAGGCGGUCUGUCACGUCGGAUGUGAAAAUCCAGGGCUUAACCCUGGACCUGCAUUCGAUACGGGCAGACUAGAGUUCGGUAGGGGAGACUGGAAUUCCUGGUGUAGCGGUGAAAUGCGCAGAUAUCAGGAGGAACACCGGUGGCGAAGGCGGGUCUCUGGGCCGAUACUGACGCUGAGGAGCGAAAGCGUGGGGAGCGAACAGG
rnacentral:rRNA from 1 species